ensembl:lncRNA
UAAAGGAUUUGGUAUGAUCCAUUCCUCCCUGUGUCAGUGGUUUGGUCUGUAUUCAGAAGGUCAGAUUACUCUGUGUGUGUCUCAUCCUGCACACAGAUGCGCAAUACUGUGACCGGCUGCAUAAACUCAUCACAAACGUCUGUGUGCAAGAGACCGACAUGGAAAGAGCUUCAUUCUAAGAGUUUUUCCCAGAAGGAAACCUUUGAGUCAGAGACAAGCGUCCUGCCAACAUGUUCAGCACCAAAAGGUCAGAGCGACACUGGUUUGUUGUCUGUUUUUGUGAUCUCUUAUGAAAAAGUACAGCAACUUGUAGACUCUUAAAGGCUUGAUAAAUCACCUGCAGAUUAAUGGAAAUACAUGUACUUGAGUUUGUGUAAUAAUUUAGCAUUUUUUUCUGAAUGUAGGGUUCACCUAUAAAUUUUUGUCACAAUGUUUGUUUUUUCACCAUGUUUUUUCCUUUCAAAACAUAUUAUGAGAAAUGAAGUCAGUUUUUUGAACUAAGAAAACAUACUGUAGGUUUCAGUUGCUCAUCAGUCUGAAGAUAUCCUUCAUGG